UACGUAGGUGGCUAGCGUUGUCCGGAUUUACUGGGCGUAAAGAGCGCGCAGGCGGUCGUUCAAGUCGAGUGUGAAAGCCCCCGGCUCAACUGGGGAGGGUCACUCGAUACUGAUCGACUUGAAGGCAGGAGAGGGAAGCGGAAUUCCCGGUGUAGUGGUGAAAUGCGUAGAUAUCGGGAGGAACACCAGUGGCGAAGGCGCUUUCUGGCCUGUUCUUGACGCUGAGGCGCGAAAGCUAGGGUAGCAAACGGGG
rnacentral:rRNA from 1 species